rnacentral:rRNA from 1 species
UGCAAGUCGAACGAACUCUUCGGAGUUAGUGGCAGACGGGUGAGUAACGCGUGGGAACCUACCUUUAGGUACGGAACAACAGUUGGAAACGACUGCUAAUACCGUAUGUGCCCUAUGGGGGAAAGAUUUAUCGCCUAAGGAUGGGCCCGCGUUGGAUUAGCUAGUUGGUGGGGUAAAGGCCUACCAAGGCGACGAUCCAUAGCUGGUCUGAGAGGAUGAUCAGCCACACUGGGACUGAGACACGGCCCAGACUCCUACGGGAGGCAGCAGUGGGGAAUAUUGGACAAUGGGCGCAAGCCUGAUCCAGCCAUGCCGCGUGAGUGAUGAAGGCCCUAGGGUUGUAAAGCUCUUUCAGCGAGGAGGAUAAUGACGUUACUCGCAGAAGAAGCCCCGGCUAACUUCGUGCCAGCAGCCGCGGUAAUACGAAGGGGGCUAGCGUUGUUCGGAAUCACUGGGCGUAAAGCGCACGUAGGCGGACUUUUAAGUCAGGGGUGAAAUCCCGGGGCUCAACCCCGGAACUGCCUUUGAUACUGGAAGUCUUGAGUCCGAGAGAGGUGAGUGGAACUCCGAGUGUAGAGGUGAAAUUCGUAGAUAUUCGGAAGAACACCAGUGGCGAAGGCGGCUCACUGGCUCGGUACUGACGCUGA